GUAGGUACUUGGGCGUUAUGUUUACCUCGAUAGUUGUGCAUACCAGUGCAAAGCACUGUGAUCUCCCAGGCGAGUAACACGCUAAAAGCAUUUCACCCUUGUCACGCUACGUUUUCAAAACUGAAACCCGAAGUUAUUCUGGGAAGGUAUUCAGUGAGAAUCCAACAAAGAAAGAUAAUAUGAUUAACAAUAAUUGUAUUCUUAAAUAAACUAACUUUACAAAUCAAUAGAAACAACUACAGAGGAAUAACAAUGGAUGUAGACAAUAUAGUUGCAGUACAAAUUCAAUAAAUAUAUACUGGUUAUUCUCGACAAAAAUAAAAUAUCUGCCAAACAUUUUAAUGCACCUUUGCAAGAAAACAUUGCCCAAAGCUGAAACUGGUUGAAAUUUGAACAAGUUUGGUGUGGGACUUUCUCUCGAGUGAUGAGAAAACGAGAUGUAAUUAUGAUAGCUCUCCAUCAACUCAAAAUAGAAACUUUAAGGUAUCUCCUACAGAUAUGGAGGGUGAUCACCAAAUUUGAAAACAACCCUUUCAAAUGUGUUGAUGUUAUUGAACAAAAGUUUUUAAGUUCAAAUAUUUAAAUUCACGCAACUUUUUCAAACAUUGCACUGCACGUCUCCUUUCGACAAGGAAGCUGUUUUCCAAAUUUGAAAACUAUCCAACCAAUAGUCAUUUGUUGAACAAAAAAUAUCUUCUGACGGAUUUGCCUUAAUUAGUAGGUCGGGAAUAUAAAAAUCCAAUAAUUCACAACUGGUCACUGAAGUGCAACAUUUCGGCAUUUUCAACGACAAAUAAACAAUGACAUUGUUGAAACACACACAUGUUUUCUUUUGUUGGUUUUGUCCAAUCAGUUUAUUUUGUCACGGUGUUGACUAUGCUCAGCCGACUUUUAUGCCUGCUCGGCUAUAUCUGAACAGUAACAGCCAGUCACCUCGCCAAAGUGCCAUAUCAUGCAAGAGCAGUCUUGCUACUAAAUCAAUUCCUACACAUGCUCUUCCUGAUGUCCAUCACUGGAAUUUAGGAAUGGAUUCAUAUAUGCUCAGAAGGGGUCAUGUAACUGAAAACUGUGAAUGCAACAAGUAAACAAUAGAUUAAAGGGGCACUGAUCCAGAGCGAUGGUCAGAUGGUCAAUCCCUGCUCCCUCGACGGUGACGGACCCGGGGACUGGGCAGUUGUCCACCUUGACAGAAUUUCAUAAACAAUGGGACAGUAGCAACGGUGGAUGUCCAUCAAAUGCCGUUAUUUGAAAAUAUCCCCGGCAGUUCUUGUCUGAUUUUAAUCAAAUACCCCAGCAGUGUACUGGGCUUUUUCGGAUUUUAGGAUGCGUUAAAGGCACGAUGACUGAUCCAAUUUGAUCCUAUUUAUGUGUUUAUUACCUCGAUAUUUAAGCAUGUCAUGUA